rnacentral:misc_RNA from 1 species
UUGAUUUUAAAUUAAUUUUUAAUGUUGUUAUAUUAAUACGUUUAAAAAAAAUGUUGUUCGCAAUUGUAGUUUUGACAACAAUAUUAUAUAGAUCCUAAUUAGAGAGAGAUGAUUCAAUGAUUUAGAGAUGGAAAGGAAGAUUCUGCCAUUGUAGUGUUAAUCUAGCGAGUUGUAGAAAGUGAGAUCCUAAACCUAAUCCAAAUAUGUAUAAUAAAAUCAAACUAAUCAAAUGGAUUUGGAUCUCAAAAUCUAGAAUAAAAAAAAUGAUUGGCACAGUUUCCAAAAUAAUGAAUUUGUACAAUCCCAAGUUAUAAUUAAUAGAGAAGAUACUUGCAAGUUGCAAUAAUCACCUAUGAACAUGCCAAUAAUUCUUAACAAAACCUAAUAUCUUGACUAAUUUAUGCUUGAGUUUUCCUGUACCUUUUGACUUGAGAUAGAAGUGUGGAAAGUUCUUGUUUAAUUAGCAUAAAUUAUAGAUGAACUGAUUGAUGUAUUAUUAAUUUUUUAUUACUAUCAAAUAUAAUAGAUGUUUAUUAAGCAGAAAUUUAUUAUAAUAUAUUAAAACUAUUAAUCUCAUGACAGAGAGAGAAGUAACUUUUUAUGAACAAUUUUUUCAACUUUUAAAUACUAAUAAAAGUAUUAUACCACUAAACAAUAUAAAUAGAAAUUAUUGCUGAAUAGGCUUAUGUAAUAUAUAAAUUUAAUUAAUAUUUUUUCAUUUAUUGCAUAAAAUUAAAUUAAAAUUUCACAUAUGGGGAUUAAAAAAUGGCAUGCCUUCACUAACCAAAAACUCUUUGCUCUAUAUGUACCCAGCUGGUAUUAAAGAUAUGAAUAAAUAUUAAUUUGUUUAAUUAAUUAAUUUGUACAUAUUAAUUAGGAAAAUGAUUUAGUUCACACAUACCUUUUGUGUGCAUGAAAUUACAAUCAUCACUUUGUAUUUCUCAUGGUACAAGUCUAACAGGUGAGUGGUAUGAUUUUAAUUACUAAACGAAAUCAGAUAAAAUAAGAUAUAUGUUCAACAUUAAUUUAACAUAAAAAUAGAUAACUAAAUAAAUGAUGAGGGAAAUUAAUUACUAGAAAAAUUCUUAGGACUUUAAAAAAAAAAGAAAAAAAUAAGGGA